AACGAACGCUGGCGGCAUGCCUAACACAUGCAAGUCGAACGAGACCUUCGGGUCUAGUGGCGCACGGGUGCGUAACGCGUGGGAACCUGCCUUUAGGUUCGGAAUAACAGUGAGAAUUACUGCUAAUACCGGAUGAUGUCUUCGGACCAAAGAUUUAUCGCCUUUAGAUGGGCCCGCGUUGGAUUAGCUAGUUGGUGGGGUAAAGGCCUACCAAGGCGACGAUCCAUAGCUGGUCUGAGAGGAUGAUCAGCCACACUGGGACUGAGACACGGCCCAGACUCCUACGGGAGGCAGCAGUGGGGAAUAUUGGACAAUGGGCGCAAGCCUGAUCCAGCAAUGCCGCGUGAGUGAAGAAGGUACUUCGGAUUGUUAAAGGACUCUUUUGGUCGGGGACGGA
rnacentral:rRNA from 1 species